UUAUUACUCCCUUCGUCCGAAAAUACUUGUCAUCAAAAUGGAUAAAAAUGGAUGUAUCUAAAACUAAAAUACAUCUAGAUACAUCCCCUUUUAUUCAUUUUGAUGACAAGUAUUUCUGGACGGAGGGAGUAUUAA
rnacentral:pre_miRNA from 1 species